AAAUUGAAGAGUUUGAUCAUGGCUCAGAUUGAACGCUGGCGGCAGGCCUAACACAUGCAAGUCGAACGGUAACAGGAAGCAGCUUGCUGCUUCACUGACGAGUGGCGGACGGGUGAGUAAUGUCUGGGAAACUGCCUGAUGGAGGGGGAUAACUACUGGAAACGGUGGCUAAUACCGCAUAACGUCGCAAGACCAAAGAGGGGGACCUUCGGGCCUCUUGCCAUCAGAUGUGCCCAGAUGGGAUUAGCUUGUUGGUGAGGUAACGGCUCACCAAGGCGACGAUCCCUAGCUGGUCUGAGAGGAUGACCAGCCACACUGGAACUGAGACACGGUCCAGACUCCUACGGGAGGCAGCAGUGGGGAAUAUUGCACAAUGGGCGCAAGCCUGAUGCAGCCAUGCCGCGUGUAUGAAGAAGGCCUUCGGGUUGUAAAGUACUUUCAGCGGGGAGGAAGGUGUUGUGGUUAAUAACC
rnacentral:rRNA from 1 species